GCUGCAGGUAUGGAGCCAGGGUGUUCCAGGCUGCUCUGAAGUCCUCUGAUUUUGCACUCCUGUUUGUCUCAUUUCAGUCCCACCCACCUACCUCCUUUGCAGCUUGCUCACUUAUUUUGAGAAAAGGCUGCCUGGGGUGCACCUUCCUCUGAGGAAGCCGAAGUGGAAAUUAAAGUUCCUGGAUUUUUCAAAACCGACUUUCCAGAAUCUGUUCUUGAAAAGUGUUCAUUAUCCAAACGAAAUUAUCCUUACGUGUUGAACAUCACAGGCUAAGGGAAGCAUACAACUAGAAAGAAACUCUGCUUGUAAUUAAAUCAUAACUUAAUGAAGUAAGUGACAUGUUGAUCUGUUUCACUGCUCACAUAUCUGGGAUUGUGGGUUGCAUA
rnacentral:lncRNA from 1 species